UAGUCUGGUGCCAGCAGCCGCGGUAAUUCCAGCUCCAAUAGCGUAUAUUAAAGUUGUUGCAGUUAAAACGCUCGUAGUCGGAUUUCGGGGCGGGCCGACCGGUCUGCCGAUGGGUAUGCACUGGCCGGCGCGUCCUUCCACCCGGAGACCGCGCCUACUCUUAACUGAGCGGGCGCGGGAGACGGGUCUUUUACUUUGAAAAAAUCAGAGUGUUUCAAGCAGGCAGUCGCUCUUGCAUGGAUUAGCAUGGGAUAAUGAAAUAGGACUCUGGUGCUAUUUUGUUGGUUUCGAACACCGGAGUAAUGAUUAACAGGGACAGUCAGGGGCACUCGUAUUCCGCCGAGAGAGGUGAAAUUCUCAGACCAGCGGAAGACGAACCACUGCGAAAGCAUUUGCCAGGGAUGUUUUCACUGAUCAAGAACGAAAGUUAGGGGAUCGAAGACGAUCAGAUACCGUCGUAGUCUUAACCAUAAACCAUGCCGACUAGGGAUUGGAGGAUGUUCCAUUUGUGACUCCUUCAGCACCUUUCGGGAAACUAAAGUCUUUGGGUUCCGGGGGGAGUAUGGUCGCAAGGCUGAAACUUAAAGGAAUUGACGGAAGGGCACCACCAGGAGUGGAGCCUGCGGCUUAAUUUGACUCAACACGGGGAAACUUACCAGGUCCAGACAUAGUAAGGAUUGACAGAUUGAUAGCUCUUUCUUGAUUCUAUGGGUGGUGGUGCAUGGCCGUUCUU
rnacentral:rRNA from 1 species